UACGAAGGGGGCUAGCGUUGCUCGGAAUCACUGGGCGUAAAGGGUGCGUAGGCGGGUCUUUAAGUCAGGGGUGAAAUCCUGGAGCUCAACUCCAGAACUGCCUUUGAUACUGAGGAUCUUGAGUACAGGAGAGGUGAGUGGAACUGCGAGUGUAGAGGUGAAAUUCGUAGAUAUUCGCAAGAACACCAGUGGCGAAGGCGGCUUACUGGUCCGGUUCUGACGCUGAGGCGCGAAAGCGUGGGGAGCAAACAGG
rnacentral:rRNA from 1 species